rnacentral:rRNA from 1 species
CACGUAGGGGGCAAGCGUUGUCCGGAUUUAUUGGGCGUAAAGAGCGUGUAGGCGGCCUGAAAGGUCAGCUGUGAAAACUCGAGGCUCAACCUCGAGACGUCGGUUGAAACCAUCUGGCUAGAGUCCGGAAGAGGAGAGUGGAAUUCCCGGUGUAGCGGUGAAAUGCGCAGAUAUCGGGAAGAACACCCGUGGCGAAGGCGGCUCUCAGGGACGGUACUGACGCUGAGACGCGAAAGCGUGGGGAGCGAACAGG